CUAUCCGCCGGUCGGCAGCAGCAGCAGCAGCGGGCAGGCCAGCCAGCCAGCCAGGCAGCUGCAGCAGCAGCAGCAGCAGCGAGAGCUCGCCUGGCCGCGGGAGGCAGGCCAGCAGUGUCUUGGGCCGCGCCGCACACGCUACACACAACACCGUCGCGGCGCGCACUACCGCACGCCCCUCGCCGGGGGAUUUCGCCCCAAAUUUGCUCGAACUGUGUCUCCAGUCUCUCGUCACACCGUCCCACUGUGCUGUGCCGGGAAUAGUUUUUACAAAAAGUGUCCUGCCCCGCCCCGCCCGACAGGUGAAGUUGGGGCGUGGGCAUAGCUGCGCGUUGCCUCGGCGCUCUCCUCCGAGCAUUGACUAGCAUGGAAAUAAUGCAGCAGCAAAGUUCGAGUCCUUUAGACGGCCGUUGGCGAGGGCACGUUCCCCUGCCCUACGCGGCGCAUGGCAUGGCACUGCCCACCCUCAACCCUCUCAGGCAACACCAGACACAACAGCCGCAGCGGCCACACCACCACCUGCACCCCCAGCAGCAGCAUCAACACCACCCCCCCCAGCAACAACAGCAAGAACAGCAACAACAACAACAACAACAACAACAACAGCAGCAGCAGUUGCAGCUACAACAGCACCUCCAGCAGCAGCACAGGCACCCUCGGCAUUCCCGGCCACAGCUGGCGGAGGCGGGAUCCUCGCGGGAUCACCAGCCCUCCAGCUCCUCUACUUCUUCCUCCUCGUCGUCCACGUCCUCGCACAGCCUCCACUCCUCGCCACAGCCCUCCCCUCACGCCCCUGCGCCAGGGAAGAGUGGGGGCAACAAGGAGGAGGGGGAGAAGAAGGAGGGGGGCGAAUGGGAACAGUACAAUGCAGGGGCGGCCUUUUUGGGGCCUACUCUAUGGGACAAGACCAUCUCCUAUGACUCCGACCUUAAGUUGGAGUACAUGGAUCUUGAUGAAUUCCUGAAUGAAAACGGGAUUCCCAUAGAGGAGGCCAGUAAGGCUAUGAGGGGUGCCGGCGGCGGUGGCGGCGUCGGUGCUCACGCGGGCGCCGCCGCUGCCACCACCACCAAGAGCGGGGGCGACGCUGACCUCACCAGCCCCACGGCGAGUGUCAGCCCCGAGGCCGCGUCACCGUCCUCCCCUGAUGGCACACCGAUGGGCCUGGGGGUGGUGCCGCAGGGCCCGCCCCCGCCAAUCACCCACCCCGCCCCGCCUCAGGUCGCCGCCCCCGGCACCCCCGCGCCGCCGCCCCCUCAUAGCGCCCCGCCCCCCUGCCUCUCCCCCGACAUGAUGGAUGAGUACAGCUCCUCAGACUCUGGAAGCCCCCACUCACCCGCCCUUCAGGUCCACGAAGGAGAUGCAGUUCGAGCAAGUCUGGGGCGGGACAGUAAUAAGGCUCGCGUAGGAGGUGAAGGUGUUGGAGGAGGAGGAGAAGGAUUUGUGGGCCAGUGUAAGCUCUCCGCACCCAAGCCCGACAAGGGGGAGCACGCCGGACUGAGCAUUGACUUCGAGGUGUCCCCUAACGAUUUAGCACUUGCCACAGUACCUGGGCAGGACUUUGAUCCACGCACCCGCUGCUUCUCCGAGGAAGAGCUGAAGCCGCAGCCGAUGAUUAAGAAGAGCCGCAAGCAGGUGGGUAACGAAGAAACGGACAAGUUUGUCCCAAUGGAGAUGAAGGAUGAGAAGUACUGGGCUCGCCGCCGCAAAAAUAACAUGGCAGCCAAGCGCUCCCGCGAUGCCCGGCGACUCAAGGAGAACCAGAUUGCCAUGCGAGCCAACUUUCUGGAGAAGGAGAAUGAUGCGCUGACUUCCGAGCUGCAGAAGGCACAGGCAGUGGUGGAGGCCCUCAAGAAGCGGCUGGCCGUGUAUGAGGUGGUCUAGCCUCCUCUAACCUCUACCUCCACCAUUACAACAACCACUCCACUCCACCACUCCCCCUCUGCCAGGAACCUUGCCCUGCGGCGGGAGUUGGAGAACGUGGCACGGAAAGUGGACCUCCUCAAGACUCGCCUUGGCAAGUAUGAGGAAGUGUGAGUGUAUGGUGUUGCGUUGUGCUGGACCCCACCACAGCCGCCCCACCACCACCACACCGCCACCACCACCGCCAUCACCACCACCUACAAUGCCACCUCCACCUCCAUCGCCACAGUCACCACGACCACCACCACCUCCACCCUACUCAGGAUAGGUUCUCCUCACUCAUUUCAGUGUAUGUAAAUUAGUUGGGUUUUAAGUGUAGAGUAUAAUGAGAAAACAGAUGAUACAAUAAUCUAUAUAUAUAAAAGAAAUAUAAAUAGAUAUAUAUUCAUAAAUAUUAUAUAAAUACCUCAAUGUUUGGUAAUAAUAUUGACCGUCACGAUGACAACGUGUGUGCAUGUGUGUGUCAGUCUGCCCUGGGGUGGGGUGGCACCUUCCCUGGGGCAGCAAGCACCCUCCCUCGUGCAAACCUGGGGAUGUGUUCUGUACAUUAGAUAAAACUUAUAUUGUGGGUGUGUCAGCAGGUCAGUGGGGCCAGUGAGUCAUGGGAGCAUCAGACAUUCUCACCCCUCCCUGCCCUUCCAGCCUCUUUACUGUUGGGUGUGUGGGGGUGGUGAUGGGGGUGGGGGUGGGGGAGGGUGGUGGUGGGGGCUGCCUCCGUGCACCUCCCUCACACAUCGCCACACGCACCGUGCCCGCCACCAACAGUGAACCUGAAGGAAGGGCAAAAGCACUGAUGGCUAGUCCACAGUUGUUAUACAUAUUACAUAUGUAGUACAUAUAUAUAUUUUUCCUGCCUACCUACAUACAUACAUAGUGGAUUGGAAGGGCUUAGUGUCUAUAAUUUGUUUAUUAAUUUUUACAACUAACAGAAGUCCCAUAUUGCCUGGUUCUGUUUACAUUUUGCAUUAUUUUUACUUCAGAGGACAUUUUUUAGGGAAGCUCAGUCCAUAUUUUAACUUACUGUCCUUGUUCAUUUAGGCACCUAACCCCUAUUUAUAUUUUAUCUGGAGGUCUAUUUUUUUAAUGAAAUGCAGACCACAUUUUAGCCAGAGAUCCUCUUGUAAGUAAAUUCUGUCUGCUUGUCAGUCACAGGGUCUCUAUGAGUGAGCCAAGUUUAUAUUUUAACAGAAGGUUCUCAUUUUUUGUAAUCCCAGUCCAGAUUUUAACUGCAUAUCCAUUUAAGUCUAAGCCUCUUUCAGCUCUACAAAAUUAAUAAGAAUUGGAAGAGCCUAAAUGGCUAUAAAUGCAGAGCCAGAGCUUUUUGAGGGACUUCUUAGGGCCACACAAAAAGACAACUUGAGCAACAACUUGAGAGGGUUGGUUGGCCAAGUACUGGAGAUGGGCAGCAGACAGGCCAGGGCAAGGCUGCUGCCACCUGUAUUCUUAGGACUUACAGGGUGGCAAAUAUUGUUUAAUUCACUGGCUGAUCAGUUUAAGUUUACUUCAUUCCUUUUGAUGUACUAAUAUGGCCAAGUCUCUUCUGUGCUGCACUGAUUCACAAACACCUUUACCAUGGUGAAGACUGUUUUGUUUUCAGUGUUUUGCACCUUCAUGGUCAUCCAAGGUGACUAAAACUGUGGUUACAAUCUGUACCAGUGUUUUGACUAAGAUCACCUACUUCACUAUCCUGUUUUUCAGUCUAGUUUAUAAUACCAAUUCUACAGUCUGAAUAGUCUUAAAAUUCCAUAACAAACCAUUGAGCUGCCUUAACAUAACUCUCCAGAGCCUAUCACAGUGGCCAUCAGUACCUGCCUGUCUGUCUGCCCCCUCCUAGAGAGAUGAUAAAAAAAAUUGCAGUGUCAAUGAAGGCACUGCUGUGAUAUCCCUCAGCCCACCAUCCCAUGCUGUGUGGUCAGGGCACUGUAGGGUGGGCCUGCCGUUGCCCCAGUAACUCCUCUGUCAACAUGAUAAAUUCAAAACAUCAAGAACUUAACUUGUAGCAGUGUAUAUAUCUACCCCGGCUGUUGCAGAGGAGCAGAGUGGGCGCCAUGGCAGGGGUGUGGGCUGGGGGGUCCUGCAGGGGAGCGGUGGUCUCCUCCCCUGUUCUAAUUGGUUCCUGUAAUAUACUGUUGAUCAACUUGCCCCGAGAAUUUUAUUAUUUUUUGAAGACUUAUUGUAAUGAUGAUAAUAUUACAUAGUGAUGCUUGCUCAAUUUAUCCUGUUGGUCAAUUUGUACAGUUUACUUAGGUAUUGGAAAAAUAAUAAUAAUACAUACAGAAAGAAGUUAUAUAUUUUUUGGUGAGAGCUUGUAUAUUAUAUCUUAAAAACCACAAUAAAAAUAAGUAAAAAAAAAUAUAAUUAUAUCUAUAAUGCUGAUAAACAAAUCUGAUAACGAUGUACAAGAAACUUUUCUGUUAUAUAGCCAUUUUAUCCGUAGGUCUAGUUGGUUAGUCGUUAGGGUUCCUGCAGGUAUUAUUAUUGUUUUGUUGUGUACAUACAAGCGUAGCGUAAUUAAAAAAAAGUUUUGAGUGUCGGCAUAACGAAUGAAUGUUCCGUCGUGAUCGAUUAUGUUGCGUUAUGGCCACCGUCGUGUGUGUCCUUCUGUCUAUAGCCUUCACUGCCUCGGUCCUUCCAACACCAACACCACACCGUCACCUCCUCCACUCCCACCACCACUUGAAGCCUUUUCCUCACUGUUUGUAUUAUUCAUAUUAUUAUUAUUAUACUAUUUUUCCAGACUUUUAUUUGUUAUAUUGUUUCUUUUGCAUUUUUUCUUAGCCUGUGACUCACUCUAAAGAUGUUAUGUAAAGUGUAACACAAGAAA